CUCUGGAAAAAAAUCAAGUUAUAAACCUGCAACUAAAGAUGUUAACAUUUAUAUUGUGUAUCUCUUCUGUCAGGUUCUUUAUUUUUCUACCUGGAUAACCAGUUUCUUUGCUCCUUGUGUUGUAACUACUGUGUCUCAUUUUCUCAUAGAACUGUCUUCUUGGGCUUCACUGACUGCAAAAAUAGAAGAUAUUCUCCUGAGUGAUGACUGGUUUUCAUCCCAUCAUGUCCUGAGCUUCCACAUCCCUCUGCUCAAAGAAAUGCCAGUUCCUCCAACCACUUGUGUUUUGCUGGAUACCUGUCAACUCUUCACAUUCAGAGACCUUGGAAAAGUAACCAACUUUGAAGAUUUUGUAGCCGGCUUUUUGUCUGAAUGGGAAACUGCUGAGUUUCAUCUCAUCCCUGUUGUGACUAAUUCCAGAUACUGGGAGAUGAAGAGUCGUAUAUGAAAAUAAACAACUUUGUAAAGGAUUCUGAGGAUAUAGU
rnacentral:lncRNA from 1 species